AGUUUUUAAGGUUCUAUUCCAAGAAAAGCAGAGUUCGACGAAAUGGCAAUCCGUUUUUGAGUACUUUGUUGUUCAGGUUCCUCUAAUCCACACCCAUAACUUUACACGAAUGACCAGUUUACAAACAUAAAGCAGCUGCAAUGGGCAUUCUCGUCUUCAUUCAGAACUUUCCAAGCUACUGCACGUUCGUAAGAGACGGGCCUCCCCAUGCUCGACAGACAGAUACCACUUUGAAGACAUGCAAAACCCUGUUAACAGAAAGUGCCAAGACGACAAAUAAGCUCCUGACCUUUUCCAGAAGAACGAGACAAAUAGGCAAGACUGUUCCCAUGUCUAAUCCCAAAGCCGAGAGCAAUAUUGCAUGAACAUUCUCAGGGAAAGCCACUUACCCUGAGACAUCGAGGGAAAAAAAAAAAACACAACAGGAGGGCAACGAUCGAGGGAAGGAUGCGAGCACAAAGUACGCAUUUUAGCAGUGUAUCAGUUUUUAAAUUUUUUUUUAAAAGAAAAAUUAUAAUCGACAAAGUGACACUCAUCAACAAUGGUUCAGAUGACAAGACAGAGAUCGUGUGAUAUGGGCAGAAGUUUAUUGGUUUCAAUUGCUAAAAAUUCCAAAUAGCACAUUGUAUCACUUCCUGCAAUACAACCCAUUUUAUCCAUAUUUGGCGUGUAUUUGUUAAAUCAGGGAAUGACUGACCUGUUUCAUUAUUUGUGGGAACUCAGAGCAGAGAUUUUUCCUUCCAUGAUCAUCAAAUAUCUUUUCCAGAGAUAUGUCUUGAAGCGCAACUAAGGUUGUCUCAAGCAUAUCAAGACCAGCCUGGUUUGUAAACGUAAACACCGGCAUUGCCUGCAUAGUUUUUGAAGUGAGAUAAAAUGGAAAACUAUGAACUAACGCAAAAUAAAGGAGUAAUGGGACUUUAAAAAAUUAUACAUGCUGCUCAUAGCAUCUAUGAUGUCAUGCAUGUUUGGCAAGGAGGUUUGGAUGGUACUAGACACUAUUAAGAAAGAAAAAGAAGCUAAAAAUCUUGUUUAUUGUAUUGUCCAAUACUAUUGAGUUCAACAAACCAAACAUGGAAGUUCAAGUUGUUGGGAAUCUACUUAACAUGCGCAGCAAAAAAUUAAAACAGAUUUCGAUUCCCACCAGGAAUCUCUUUGUAUUUAGAUAGAAAUUUUGAAAAAAUUGUACCUUUUCCAGAUCUGUAAACUUCUUUUCUAUUCUUUUUGUUCCAACAAUUUUGAUUCGCCACCCACAGCUGUCCAAUUGUCCCGGGUCCAACGAUGAUCCACACAGAGAACAGAUUGCAACUACCAGAAUUUUCUCCUCUUGCGCUAGCAAGAAAUUAUGAGAAAACUUUAUGGAUUGAAAAUCCUAGCCAUGUAUUUAUGCCUGGCUUAGUCCGGUCCAGUCCAAUAUUUAAUUAAAUCCGGUCCGUGAAUUAAUUAAUCCAAUUAAUUAAUUCGGGCCUAUAAAUAACUAACUCAAUUAAUUAAUUUAUUCAACGAUUGUUAAAUUAAUUAAUUGACAAGUUGUAAUCUUCCAAUUCUCUUUUAUGUGCGACCCAUCAGGUUCCCGAUCACGAUACCUAACGACGUGAAAUAUUAUUUUGAUCUAAUCAAAAUUGAUAAAUUAAAACACCCUUUUAAUUUAUCACCAAUUCACACUCAUCGUCCCAGAUUGACAUCUAGCAAUGUAUCAGCGCAAUACAUGUGAGGGGAAUGUCAUGUGAUAUGAAAAAACCAAACUCGUUCGUUUACCGUGAAACUAUAAUCUCUUCGUCAAUAUGAUCCGAUCAAUUAUGAGAUAUGGAAGUGUAUCAAUCCCGAAUAUCGAUCAUAUCUUUCACUCUACUAUUAAGUCAAUAUAAGUCGAAAACUAUUUUUUCGACUUAUGAGUACACCUUAACCAAGGAUUUUGUUAUCGAUUUAAUUGAAUGAAACGCAGAUCAUAAUCUCCUACUAUAUAAGAGUGACGAAUCCUCUAUUGGUUUUUCACAACUUUCAUACGAUUAUUUACAUACCCGAACGAUACCGUAUUAGCGGCCAUUGGCAAAGCAACAUCCAACACCGUCAAAGCAUGACUGUCCUCAUAUAAGAUACUAUGACGACCUCAAGUCAAAGGACCAAUCCCACUACCGAACAUUAGAGAUUAAUCACUGACACUCAGAUAGUUAUCCAUAUGGAAUCUCUCGGUGGGUCUCCAAUAUUUUCUUCUAUAACAAAACAUUCAUAUGUUCAUUUAAGUGUCACCACACUUUAGCUUGUGAGAUCAGCUACUUACUUCACCAGUAAGAAAUGUCACACGUGAUGGUCUAUCCGUAAUAACGAUAUCCGUAUCUCAUUAUUACUUACGACCACGGACAUUUAAGAUUCAAUCAUAUAUAAUUUGUAUCUCACAAUCACAACUCUUUGUGAUUAACAAAUUACGAAGAUUUGAAUCUACGGAUUCUAUUAUUUAUUUAAUUGUAUAUUAAUUAAAUAAUAGAUCUGCCAUUAAAUUGCAUUAAUUAUAUAUCAAAAGUAUUUAUGUCCAAGGUUGAUUGGACCUAUGGCAUAAUACUGACACAAGUAAGGGAACAAAGUAGCUGAGUUGUUUGUUAAUAAGGGGUACAAAAUGAAAUCCUUCAAGAUGCUACAAGCUAGAGACUUCAAUGGGGCUGAUUAGACAGGAUAAAUGGGGAGUUCCAUUGUAGAGUUGGAUAAAUUGAUUCUCUUAUGUAUGUCAUCCUCUUUACAAUUCCUUGUCUUUAACUGUAAAGAUUGAAAACUGUUUGUAUCUAAUUCCUUGGAGGUAAGGUUCUUGAAUGUCCCCCUCCGUGUAAAACGUGUUCAUAUCAAUAUACUAGGGAAGGGGGCCAAUGCCAAACCCUCCAUUCACCCUUAAAUGAGUGGAAUAAAACCUCCUGCCCAAGUCUGAAUGACCUUUAGAAAAGAUUUUUAAAAAAAUAAAAAUAAAAAACAUGCACGUUCAAGUUCCUAAAACGGAGUUGCGUCUUGCAAUAAAAUGCUUUUCUACGCAGAACAUGAAAUUUAACUCACAAAAUUACGACUACGAACAAAUUGUUCAAACAACGAAUUGAUAAUUUAAGAGUGGCAAUCUGUAAAGCUUCUUAUAAUUAUUUUUCUUGCACAAGUAUUGGAGGGAAAAGAAAGGAAGGUAACCUGGAAUCAGAAAUUUACCUUAAUGGAGCAGCAUAUUAUAGCAUCUGAGUGAUUCCACAGAGCUUUGAGGAUCGAUUCACUCCCUUCACCAGCAGACUUGAGAAGAUCAACACCCAUAUAGCUCCUAUCAAGAUGCAGAGUAAUCAGACUAAAUCAUUCAAAAUGCCACGAAUUUCAUAAAAGCAUUCCCCAAAAGUUUGUCUAGGUCAGUUGCAUUCUCAGCACAAACCUUGGGCCUUAGAUUCCUCUCAUAUCUUCGCUGUGAAAUCAUAUAUUGCGAAAUCAAACUGACAAACAUGAAUGAUGUUGUAAGUGUUACAUGUAACUUUGGCAUAUCCGACGAGCAAGAGUAUGUGCUUCAGGAGUUCCAUGUGGUGAGCGAAGACUAGCUUGCAGACCCAGGUGAGAGGGAGAGAGAGCUAAUGCAACCCGUUGAAAUGAUAAAAAUAAGUGUGAUGAAAAAAGUUAAGGAUACAAGUGUGAUAAUAUAUAAAAAUUAAUGACAUUUAACGUAAUUAAAAUGUGAUGUUAUGUGGUUUGAAUAUCAUAACCCUUUGUAAAUUUGUAAUUAGACAUAAAUUACAGUUUGGUCCUAAAAAUGUGUAUUCCUACUUAUUUUUCAUAUAAGUAAUGAUAUUUAUGGUCGCUGUGGUAGUCGCUCCACAUGACAUCCUGCAUGACAAUUUCUGAUUUGAUGUAUUAAUGUGGUGUUUUUUUCUUACCUCAUAUAUCAAAUCAUUAAUCGCCACAUGUAUGCUACGUAAGGCGACUGCAACAACAAAUGGCUGCAAAUAGCAUUAUUCUUUCCAUAUACUAAGGUGUUGGGCUUUCCCAUUUGGGGCACACAAGUGUGCAAGAUAAGGCCUGAAGGCUACUAAGAUUUGUAGGGGGGAAAUAUAUAAACUAUUGAGGUUUCAAAAUACAAUUUUAAAAAUAAGAAAAUUGUGAAAAAAUUUCAAAAAUCAAGUAGUCACAUUUUGUGAUCUCUGAUAAAAUUUCGCAACCUAUAAUUUUAUUAGACAAGUCACAAUCACAAUAACACAUAAUUCAUGAUCACGAUCACAUACUAAUAUCAAAUCAUAUAAGGUCACAAUCACAAAUAUAUAAUUUGUGGGCGACAAUUCCUUUAGUGACAAAUGACACAUUCACUACAUCAAAGUUUAUUUUUUUAUGCCAUACAUUGAAUGCUGUAAAUAACUCUUUAUGUCGAUGACAAAAUGCCUUAUAAAGCAACACCGUAAAACGUGAUUUUUUUAUGACAUGCAGAGUAUGCCUUGUAGAGAACGCCAUUAUUAAUUUUAUGACGCUCAGUGGCACGUCAUAAAAAGUAUAUCACUUUUUACAGCAUGUUAAGAUGUAGGCUGUAUAUGUAAUACCUUUUGUGACGUUCGCUGAAUGCAUGCAUUAAAAUGUGAGAUGCUUUUUAUGGCGUGCCACUGAACGCCAUAUAAAGUAUUAAAUUAACGGCUUACAUCUGAACAUGAGGGAAAAAAAGUUAUGGAAUUUACGGCAUGCCUAAACACGCUUUAAAUAUCAAUUUAAUUUUUUUAAAAAUAUUUAUUUAUUUCAUUGUCAGCAAACAUAUAAUUACAAAACAAAAUUAAUCCAUAUAUAAUCAAGUUUUCUGUUGUUACAAUAAAUAAAAAUAUUAAGUACGUUCAACACAAUAUGUCAAUAUAAAAUUCAUCUCAACCAUUCUCAAAAAUUAUAGAUUACUGCUUCAUAAAAAAAUGAUUAAAACAUAUCAAAGUUUACUUCUUUGACUGACAAUUUAGCUAUAUCACAAAAUAUCAAAAUAGGCUUUUUACGACAUGCCUUAAAUGCAAGCCUUAAAAAGUUACUUUUGUUGUAGUGAUUUUAUAGAUCACAAAUUACACAGUUAAGUGGUUUCAAUCAAUUUGCUACACCACCCUAGUGAUGGAAAAAUGGCUCGCGGGCUUGGGCCAAUUUAAAAAGCUCGAGCCAAGGCCCAUCUUAGGGUACGAGGUUGAGCCUGAGCCGACCCUGUGGCUCGUGGGCAACUUGAAAUUUAAAAAAAAAAAAAUUAUAAAGGCAGCGUGGCUGCUGCCUUUGUUUAGGGAACUGCAAGUUGCCAUGAAAAAAAAUCGAGUCAGCUCGACUCAGCUCAAUAAGGCCCGAACCGAAAGCUCAGUUCAAGCAUCGAUUUUUUGGCCAAGCCCGAGCCUCAAUUUUCAACUUGCAAGCCGGCUCGAUUUUGCUCGUUGACACCCUAUACCACCCCACUUCACCGCUAUCCACACCACCCAAAUUGUCGCAGCCACAUCGAAUCCGUCGCCAACUUCACCUCAAGUCCACCACAUGCAUCUCCGGUUCACCACUGCCAACGAUCACAAAUCAUGGUCACUAUUCUUCUCACCUCACCCAUCACCACCACUCUUGAUGAAAUCCAAUCUAAACAUGCCAUAACUAGUAGAGCUACAGUCACUAUUAGAUCUUACCUCUAGAUCUACAUUUACUAUUAGAAUAUAAAGUAGAAAAGCAUCGAUUCAAAAUCGAUUUUUUAAUCACAAAUUUUGACUGGGCCACCGCCAUUUGGAUCGCCGUCAUUAUCUCUAUGGCCAGAUCAAUGGAUUAAGAUGGAUUACAGGUGAAGGUCUGAGGCGUUUUCUCAAAUUCUAAAAAAGUUGGGGAACAAUGGAUUAUUUGAUAUGGAGGGGUGAUGUGAGGUGGGAUAGGGUGUACUGUUAGUGCGAAAUUCAUAAGUGUAUGAAAUUGUUGACAAGUAUAACGUGAUGAAUAAAAUGUAUCAUCCUCGAGAAAUAAGCUAUAAAUUGAAAUAUAACAAUUCAUUAUCAAAUUCGAAUGUAACUAACAAAACAGAUGAUUCUAUUUACAUCUAAAUUAAUAUAUUAAUUAUCUAUUAUUAUUUCUAACUAAAUAUACAAAUGAAUGUGUUGGUAUUUUGAUGCACGUAUUAUUAUCUUAUUUCUAAUUCUCAACCUAUAUAAUUUAGUAUGUGUAUUCAUGAUAAUUGAUAAUCCAAUUUUUUUAACUCUCUCCAAGGUAAGUUAGCUACUGCUUGGUCGAGAUUAAAAUUUUAUUUUUAAUAGAUUUUAAUAAAAUUUGAUUAAAUGUGUGGUCGAAAGGCUGUAAGUAAUACGAAAUGUGUGGUUAAAAUUAUUGACUUUGACUCGAGAUUUUAAUUGGAUUUAAAUCAAAGAUAAAUAGGGACUUAAAAAUAAUCUAAGCACGGCCUGAACUGAUCCAAUUUUAUUCUUAAUUCGAAUUCAUAUGUAAAAUAAUGCAUUUAAUUAUACGAUUAUCUAUAUGAUUACACACACAAUGUAUAUAUUCUUAACAUCGAUUGCAUGCGUUGAAAUUGCAAAUUUCUAAACUUAUUGUAAGUCUUCCAACACUCUACAAAUAAGUAAUUACGUAAUUGAAGAUCAAACAAAAUAAUAACAAAGUUCAUUUUCGCUCCAACACAAAACAAAUCUAAUUUAGCAUGUUUCUAAAGAUAACAAUAUGGGAAUUAGAAAAUCAUAACUACGGAUGUAAGCAAGCUACUUCGAGCUGGGUUGCAACCCAAAGUUCGCGGCCUGUACAAAAAAUUGCAUGGACUUUUUUAGCUAAAGUCAAACCGAGCAAAACUCAGACGAAAGUUAGCUUAAUUAAUUAAGAUCUGUAACCAAAAACUUCAUAAGAAAAUUAAAAAUCAAAUACAAUCCAAGCCAACUUUAUGAAGUUUACAAUUGGUAGAUUAAUAAUUGAUAAAAUACAUAUGAAUGUAAAAAUAACUACUAAUUUUCCAUUGAAAGAUCAUCCAUAUCUCUAGUAAUGGCAGGGAUGCAGCUUGAACUCCUAACAAUUCCACCCUUCUUUGUUGCAUCAGUAUUAUCUCUAGCACCCAUGGAUUGGCAUCUAACUUGUCUCUUCUUCAAGAUUUCUUUCAUGGCUUCAGCUUGAUAAAGAAUUGGAUAAGCCCUUCCAAAUUUGUUAAACCUAACGCAUGCAUGCAUAUGAGAAUUCAACGCUUCCUCUCUAUUUCCACCAUUUUUAUCAGUUUCUUCUUUAACUGCUUCGGCGCAAAGCCCACAAAUCCACUUCCCGAAGAACUUAUCGCGCACUUGGCCUACAUACUCGGGAGUGCAUUCUUCGCUCAUGCCACAGCAUUCGCAUUUCGCAUCUUCAAUUUCAGAAAUCGGUGGCAGAUUUUCCAAGUCUGCAGCCUCUUUGCUUAGCUCGAAAGAUAUGUCAGAUAUUGUUCUUUGCAGGUUAUUGUUCUUUGAGGGUUUGCACGAGUGUAGGGUAUUGGAAGAGUUCCUAACAAUGGCCUCUCCAUGUGGUGCCAUAAUGAUGAUGAAUUUGAUUUUCAAGCCUCAGGAAACCCUAAUAUGAUGACAAUGUUAAGGCUCAGGAAAGCCUAAUGAGAACUGUGAAGGGCUAUGACUUACAAAAGUUAUAUAGAGAUAACCAGUGUAUUGAAAAUACUUGAAAGCUUCUGUUGGACGAAUAAGUGAUCAUAUGAGUGGACCUAUUUAUAGUUGAUUUGCCUUUAUGAAUUGAGAAAUACUGAAAAGAACAUUUAGUGGACCAUGGAAACUCCCAUGUCACUGUACAACUUUCACUUGGACAGUCUUGAAUAUGCUAGAUUUUCAUCAGAAUCUGUGGCUUAAAACAAGAGUGUUUAUUGGAUGAAUAUCUUUUUCAUUUUCAAAGAAAACAUGUUUUCUUUAUAGUUAUUACAGAGUGAGACAUCGUCGUUGACAAUAGUUUCAUUAUCGAGAGUAUCUUAAUAAUGGGAAAGUCUUCAUUAUCAAGGAAAGAAUUCGUCUCCAUCAAUCUAAGAAAAACAAAUGGCCAUGAGUAAUUGGGGGUCCAUACUAUUUCCUUGGUUGAGCAUUACGUGAUGUGUUGGUUUAUUAUGAUAAUAAAAAAAAAAUAACAAUAAUAAUAAUAAUAAUAAUUGGGUUAUGGUCAAAUCUUUGGCAUAUAAUUUUUUUUGUUCUUUUAAUUCAUAAAAUUAGUUCAACAAUUUUUUUUUACCUGUUUGAUAAAAUUUAAAAUUCAUAUUUUAAUCUAAAUGAAAGUUAACAAUUAAUUUUAAUCAUUCAUUUCAUGAAAACUAACUUUUCAACUACAUGUUUCAUCAAUUUUUAUCAAAAUCUAUACGAAAAAUGAUUUUGAUCUCCAUCAAACAGGGGCUUACUAAAAUUAAACUAAAAAAAUAGCUCACCUUAAAAUGCAAUCGUUGUUUUGAAACCUCUAGCACGACAUGUAUACCUAGUUAAUUUGGAAUAAUUUAUCAUAUAAUUGUAAAACUCGAGUAACUAUAAAAAGGAUAGAUACAAUUUAUUAAUUUGAAAACGAUAAAAUGAGCAAAGUUAAUAUCGUCGCAUAAAUAUUAAAACAAGGGCUUUGGUGAGCAUUGAGCACUUUUAACAAUAUUGACUUUAUAAAAUAGAACAUAUAUAUAGAAACUCAAUAUACUAUAUCAAACUCUAGAACGCUCAAAUGAUCUAGUCGAUCAAUCCAUCCAAAGUGUAAACUAGGCAAAUUGUAAGAUUGAUAUUCUCAAAAAAUUCACUAUUUCGCGAUGACGUAUUAAAAGUAUAGAUAAAUAAAGACUCAGUUACUCUUCAAAAAAUCGACCUUAUAAGAAGACCGCCCUCAAUACGGAUUUCAAAAAUAUAGUUUUCAUGUGUUUAUGUUUCACUAGAAAUCAGCUUGGCUCAUAAAAUUAAAAUAUAGCACAAGUUGCUUGGUUUCACAUGACUAAUGUUUUUAACCACAUAAUAAAAUUGAUUUUAAGAGUCACAAGCUUCUUGAAAUAAAGAAGAAAAGUGGUUUUACGGCAACAGUAUCUUUUCAUGCUUGCAAAUGGUUAUAAAUUCUACCUUUUAGGGCUUGGGUUUAAUUGGAUCUUCAAUUCUCACAUGACUGAUAAUGACUCCCGCGUCUCUAUAAUCCUAAGGUGCUAUGAUUAACUGUGAAAUGCACCACUGUUGGUUAAUAGCGUUACUGUAUAUAUGGUUUUGUGCUCAAUUAGAUCGAAAAAUACCAAAUUUAGAGUCGAUAAUUGAAAACAUAAAUAAUAUUGCUAUAUAUUGAGGUGUACAAUUGUUCAAAUGCAUAAUGAAUAAUAAUAACACUCCAAAAUUGAAUUUCUAGUCCGUCUCAAUGAAUGCACUUCACUAGGUGUAAAAUAAAUUAGAUAACCACAGUAGUGGUGACUCGUUCUCGAUCCUAAUCUUAAUAUCGAAUGACUCGAGCCACUUUUCAUUUUUAUCAUUUUUCACAUUUUAUAGAUGCCACUGCCGCAUUUCUUUUCUAAAUUUUAUAAAUAUACCCCAAAGUUUGUCAUUUGUCACGUCCAACCAAUCAUAUCAAAUAAGCAAAUAUUUAGCAAGUAAAAUAGGAUAAAACAAAAGUAACAGCUAACAGAAAAGAAAAUGAAAUGGCAAAAGAGUUUGAUUACUGAGGAGCCAAACUAAGCAACAGUUUUUAAGGUUCUAUACCAAAAAAAGCAGAGUUCGACGAAAUGGCAAUCCGUUUUUGAGUACUUUGUUGUUCAGGUUCCUCUAAUCCACACCCAUAAAUUUACACGAAUGACCAGUUUACAAACAUAAAGCAGAUGCAAUGGGCAUUCUCGUCUUCAUUCAGAACUUUCCAUGCUACUGCACGUUCGUAAGAGACGG
rnacentral:lncRNA from 1 species